GGGUAUUUGAGUCCAGAACUGAGGGAAUGGGCUGUAGCAAGUGUGCCCCGUUUGGUUUACAUGGGUUCUUGUAAAUAUGGUGCCAGUGGGCACAGAGGAGCUGUUUGCAUCCAUGAGAUCCUUAAGAGGCUUCAAGAGGUGCAGUUUGUGAAAGAAGGAUAGAUGUGAAGCCCCAUCUGGUGGAAAAAGAGUUAUGUGUGAAGAUGGGUGUCCAGUUGGGCAAAGAACAAGUGAAGUAGAAGUAUGCCUGUGGGGGACAUGAAGU